rnacentral:rRNA from 1 species
GUCUACAGCCAUACCACCCUGAAUGGGCCCAAUCUUGUCUGAUCUCUGAAACUAAGCAGAGUAGGGCCUGGUGAGUACUUGAAUGGGAGAUACGUGAGCCAGGUACUGGUGACU